AGAGUUUGAUCAUGGCUCAGAACGAACGCUGGCGGCACGCCUAACACAUGCAAGUCGAGCGAUCCCUUCGGGGAUAGCGGCGGACGGGUUAGUAACGCGUGGGAACAUACCCUUCUCUACGGAAUAGCCUCGGGAAACUGAGAUUAAUACCGUAUACGCCCUUCGGGGGAAAGAUUUAUCGGAGAAGGAUUGGCCCGCGUUGGAUUAGGUAGUUGGUGGGGUAAUGGCCUACCAAGCCUACGAUCCAUAGCUGGUUUGAGAGGAUGAUCAGCAACACUGGGACUGAGACACGGCCCAGACUCCUACGGGAGGCAGCAGUGGGGAAUCUUAGACAAUGGGGGAAACCCUGAUCUAGCGAUGCCGCGUGAGUGAUGAAGGCCUUAGGGUCGUAAAGCUCUUUCGCCAGGGAAGAUAAUGACUGUACCUGGUAAAGAAACCCCGGCUAACUCCGUGCCAGCAGCCGCGGUAAUACGGAGGGGGUUAGCGUUGUUCGGAAUUACUGGGCGUAAAGCGCACGUAGGCGGAUCAGAAAGUAAGAGGUGAAAUCCCAGGGCUUAACCCUGGAACUGCCUUUUAAACUCCUGGUCUUGAGUUCGAGAGAGGUAAGUGGAAUUCCAAGUGUAGAGGUGAAAUUCGUAGAUAUUUGGAGGAACACCAGUGGCGAAGGC
rnacentral:rRNA from 1 species